UCAUGAAGUUUCAGCAGCAGGAUCUCACUUGUAGGGCCUCUUCCAAACAGACACUCUAUUUCAUUCCAAACUUUGGGUUGAUUGCUUUUCCUGCUUUGGCCACCUGAUGUGAGGAGCUAACUCAUUUGAAAAGACCCUGAUGCUGGCUGUUCCCUCUCCAUCUUCCCUGAGUUCCAGGAAGCUGACAUCCACUCCUUCAGGAAGUCCACGUAGCAGCUGCCAUCCUAGGUCACGCUGUCCAUCUCCAAGGAGGACAUCGUUUUAGUUGGGCUCCCCUGCUGUACAAUUCCAGAGGAUUUUCUUCACACAAAGUGGGAGUGAAAGAACAUCAUUUUUGUAGAAUGAUAGGGGAGAAAAGAAUUUCCUUUACCCUCCUAAGUCCAAUAGCCAGGUCUGUGAAAUAAAUUGACAAUUGUAGAUUAACAGGAGUAAAGGUUUACAAAUUUAUUAACUUAGAGUUACAUAUACAGAGACAUCACAGGAAAAAAAAAACUCCAAAAAUGAGUGAUAUAUGAG
rnacentral:lncRNA from 1 species